GCGACGCCGGCAGCGACAGAGGGAGCAGAUAAUUUCCUACACGCAGUAAGUGCAAGUAAGUGUGCGCCUGCUCACACACACAAUCGCACGCAUACCUGCACGAAGAAGCGCUCCAAGGAGGAGCCGAUGGCCAAAACGAGCGGCCACGAACGGGACGAUGAGCGGGAUGAGCGGCGGGCGGGCGGGUGGUACGACCGUACGCGCGCGUAGCUUAAGAAGGACUAGAAGAGAAGAAGCAGGCAGGCAGCGGCCGCAGCAAGCUGAGGUCCUUGCCGAGUCGCAAUCGGAGCGGAUUCGGAAUCGGAAGUCGGAUGCCGAAGCUGCUGCGUAGGUGUAGGUGUAGCCGCUGCCUCAGGAUAAUGUAAUGCACUCACAGUCGCACACACUCACACUGGCACACUCAGACAUACGCACACAGACGCCGGCAGAGAGAGAACGCAAUUAGAAAGCAGCAGGACACGAAGCAGCCGAAAAUCAGACACGAAGGCACGAAGACCCGAAGCCUGCGGCUGGCAGUCUUCGUAUUGCCGGUUCAGACACUUUCGAAAGGAGAAGUCCGAGAAUAGAGCCCCUUUCUCUUCACUUCUCUCUCACUCUCUCUCCCUCUCUUUCUGUCGCCCCUACUCUUUCGCUCUGCCGCCAGCGUCUUCUAAUCGGGAGAAGAUAACGCACACUAUUUGCUUACCCGUCGGAGGAUUCGGAGCAUCACAUGAGCAAUUCUGCGUAUCAAAAUUGAGUUUUGGACUCUGUAGUUUUG
ensembl:ncRNA lncRNA:CR46008 long non-coding RNA:CR46008